GCCGCUUGGUUCAGUGGUUCUCACGCCACUGAACAGAUCACUUCAGUACCGAAGUGGUCGAGGGUUCGAUUCCCUCAGGGCA